GCCUGGGGACUACCGCCCACAUUGAUAAACCUCCAAUGAAUUGACGCGGUGCCGCACCAAGCGGUGGGGCAUGUGGUUUAAUUCGAAGCAACGCGAAGAACCUUCCAGUUCUUGCCAUCCAAGGAGCUUUCUAGAGAUAGAUUGGCGCCUUGGGGAACACUGAGACAGCUGCUGCAUGGCUGUUGUCAGCUCGUGUCGUGAGAUGUUGGGUUAAGUCCCCGUAACGAGCGCAACCCUUGUCCUUAGUUACCAGCACGUUAUGGUGGGCACUCUAAGGAGACUGCCGGUGACAAACCGGAGGAAGGUGGGGAUGACGUCAAGUCAUCAUGGCCCUUACGGCCUGGGCUACACACGUGCUACAAUGGUCGGUACAAAGGGUUGCCAAAGGCCGCGAGGUGGAGCUAAUCCCAUAAAACCGAUCGUAGUCCGGAUCGCAGUCUGCAACUCGACUGCGUGAAGUCGGAAUCGCUAGUAAUCGCGAAUCAGAAUGUCGCGGUGAAUACGUUCCCGGGCCUUGUACACACCGCCCGUCACUCCAUGGGAGCUAGUUGCUCCAGAAGUAGCUAGUCUACUCAGUCGUAACAAGGUAGCCGUAGAGUUGACCCC
rnacentral:rRNA from 1 species